rnacentral:rRNA from 1 species
GGGAAUAUUGCGCAAUGGAGGAAACUCUGACGCAGUGACGCCGCGUAUAGGAAGAAGGUUUUCGGAUUGUAAACUAUUGUCGUGAGGGAAGAAAUUGACAGUACCUCAGGAGGAAGCUCCGGCUAACUAUGUGCCAGCAGCCGCGGUAAUACAUAGGGAGCAAGCGUUAUCCGGAUUUACUGGGUGUAAAGGGAGCGUAGACGGUGAUGCAAGUCAGAAGUGAAAGCCCGGGGCUCAACUCCGGGACUGCUUUUGAAACUGUGUGACUGGAGUGCAGGAGAGGUAAGCGGAAUUCCUGGUGUAGCGGUGAAAUGCGUAGAUAUCAGGAGGAACACCAGUGGCGAAGGCGGCUUGCUGGACUGUAACUGACGUUGAGGCUCGAAAGCGUGGGGAGCAAACAGG